rnacentral:rRNA from 1 species
GAUGAACGCUGGCGGCGUGCCUAAUACAUGCAAGUCGAGCGAACAGACGAGGAGCUUGCUCCUCUGACGUUAGCGGCGGACGGGUGAGUAACACGAGGAUAACCUACCUAUAAGACUGGGAUAACUUCGGGAAACCGGAGCUAAUACCGUAUAAUAUAUUGAACCGCAUGGUUCAAUAGUGAAAGACGGUUUUGCUGUCACUUAUAGAUGGAUCCGCGACGCAUUAGCUAGUUGGUAAGGUAACGGCUUACCAAGGCGACGAUGCGUAGCCGACCUGAGAGGGUGAUCGGCCACACUGGAACUGAGACACGGUCCAGACUCCUACGGGAGGCAGCAGUAGGGAAUCUUCCGCAAUGGGCGAAAGCCUGACGGAGCAACGCCGCGUGAGUGAUGAAGGUCUUCGGAUCGUAAAACUCUGUUAUUAGGGAAGAACAAAUGUGUAAGUAACUAUGCACGUCUUGACGGUACCUAAUCAGAAAGCCACGGCUAACUACGUG